rnacentral:rRNA from 1 species
CGUAGUGGCGCACGGGUGCGUAACGCGUCGGGAAUCUGCCCAAAGGUUCGGAAUAACUCAGGGAAACUUGAGCUAAUACCGGAUAAUGUCGCAAGACCAAAGAUUUAUUGCCUUUGGAUGAGCCCGCGUAGGAUUAGCUAGUUGGUGGGGUAAAAGCCUACCAAGGCGACGAUCCUUAGCUGGUCUGAGAGGAUGAUCAGCCACACUGGGACUGAGACACGGCCCAG